AUUUUAAUGUUUUUAAUAUAUAAAUAAUAAUUUUGAGAGACAGUAUUUGAUUAUUUUUAAAAUAAAUUUUAAAUAUUUAUUCGAAAAAUAUGUCUAGUUCUUUUAUUUUAUUUUUCCGCUAAUCUCCAUCCAACCAAUCCAAUCCAUUCGACAUUUUCAAAAUUUGAAGUUAGAAAAAUUCUAUAAUUGCAGUGCUCCACUCGACAUUUUCAUAGAAGAAUAGAACUUUUAGAAGUGAACAAUAAUACCAAACAGAUUUAACAACAUCAUAUUUGGUAUUGGCACCUCAACAACCUCAACUGGUAUGAAACAAAAAUCAAUUAAGAAUUUCUUCAAGAAAUCAGUGCCAGUGAUUCCUGAGGUGGUGGAACUUAAGCAUCUUUGUGAUCGUGUUCGUGUAUUGGAAACUAGUGCUUUAACCUCAAAGCAAUCUAAAUCUCAAGAAGAUGACUAUCAUGUAUUGGAAACUGCUUUAACCUCUAAACAAUCUAAAUCUCAAGAAGAUGACUAUCAUG